rnacentral:rRNA from 1 species
GUCGAACGCGCAGCAGUUUGUAGCAAUACAGAUUGUGGGCGCGUGGCGAACGGGUGCGUAACACGUGGAUAACCUUCCUUCAGGUGGGGAAUAACCCAGUGAAAAUUGGGCUAAUACCGCAUAACAUGACGAUGCCACAUGGUGUUGUCUUCAAAGGCGCAAGUCGCCAGAAGAGGGAUCCGCGGCCGAUUAGCUAGUUGGCGAGGUAAUGGCUCACCAAGGCAAUGAUCGGUAGCCGGACUGAGAGGUUGGCCGGCCACACUGGAACUGAGACACGGUCCAGACUCCUACGGGAGGCAGCAGUGGGGAAUCUUGCACAAUGGACGAAAGUCUGAUGCAGCAACGCCGCGUGGGGGAUGAAGCUUUUCGGAGUGUAAACCCCUUUCGACCCGGAAGAAAGCCCGCAAGGGUUUGACGGUACGGGUAUAAGAAGCCCCGGCUAACUACGUGCCAGCAGCCGCGGUAAAACGUAGGGGGCCAGCGUUGCUCGGAAUUACUGGGCGUAAAGGGUCCGUAGGCGGUGUGGCAAGUCGGUAGUGAAAUCUCUGGGCUUAACCCAGAGGCUGCUGCCGAAACUGCCGUGCUAGAGUGUGAGAGAGGCGAGUGGAAUUACGGGUGUAGCGGUGAAAUGCGUAGAUAUCCGUAGGAACAUCCGAGGCGAAGGCGGCUCGCUGGAUCACAACUGACGCUGAGGGACGAAAGCUAGGGGAGCAAACAGGAUUAGAUACCCUGGUAGUCCUAGCCCUAAACCAUCA